CAGUAGGGAGGAAGGUAGUGUAGUUAACACCUGCAUUAUUUGACGUUACCUACAGAAGAAGCACCGGCUAACUCCGUGCCAGCAGCCGCGGUAAUACGGAGGGUGCGAGCGUUAAUCGGAAUUACUGGGCGUAAAGACGCAUGCAGGCGGCCUGUUAAGUCAGAUGUGAAAGACCCGGGGCGUUAACCUCGGAAUUGCAUUUGUAAACUAGGCAGGCUAGAGUCUUGUAGAGGGGGGUAGGAAGUUUCUAGGUGUAGCGGUGAAAUAGCGUAGAGAUCUGAAGGAAUACCAGUGGCGAAGGCGGCCCCCUGGACAAAGACUGACGCUCAGAUGCGAAAGCGUGGGGAGCAAACAGGAUUAGAUACCCUGGUAG
rnacentral:rRNA from 1 species